rnacentral:miRNA from 1 species
GUCACUCGUGGUCACUCGUGUGUACUUUUAGACAAGAUCCAAUUUGCACUAAAAGUACACACGAGUGACCACGAAUGACCACGAGU